rfam:Enterobius vermicularis genome assembly, scaffold: EVEC_scaffold0002301
CCAACGGCUCUACUUAGAGCCACACUUCUAUAAAUCAGGCGUUUU